GUGGGGAAUAUUGGACAAUGGGCGAAAGCCUGAUCCAGCAAUGCCGCGUGAGUGAUGAAGGCCUUAGGGUUGUAAAGCUCUUUUACCCGGGUUGAUAAUGACAGUACCGGGAGAAUAAGCUCCGGCUAACUCCGUGCCAGCAGCCGCGGUAAUACGGAGGGAGCUAGCGUUGUUCGGAAUUACUGGGCGUAAAGCGCACGUAGGCGGCUUUGUAAGUUAGAGGUGAAAGCCUGGAGCUUAACUCCAGAACUGCCUUUAAGACUGCAUCGCUUGAAUCCAGGAGAGGGGAGUGGAAUUCCGAGUGUAGAGGUGAAAUUCGUAGAUAUUCGGAAGAACACCAGUGGCGAAGGCGGCUCACUGGACUGGUAUUGACGCUGAGGUGCGAAAGCGUGGGGAGCAAACAGGAUUAGAAACCCUGGUAGUCC
rnacentral:rRNA from 1 species